AGCGAACGCUGGCGGCAGGCCUAACACAUGCAAGUCGAACGAAGUCUUCGGACUUAGUGGCGGACGGGUGAGUAACACGUGGGAACGUACCUUUUGGUUCGGAACAACUCAGGGAAACUUGAGCUAAUACCGGAUGAGCCCUUAGGGGGAAAGAUUUAUCGCGGAAAGAGCGGGCCGCGUUAGAUUAGCUAGUUGGUGAGGUAAAGGCUCAACAAGGCUACGAUCUAUAGCUGGUCUGAGAGGAUGAUCAGCCACACUGGGACUGAGACACGGCCCAGACUCCUACGGGAGGCGGCAGUGGGGAAUCUUGCGCAAUGGGCGAAAGCCUGACGCAGCCAUGCCGCGUGAAUGAUGAAGGUCUUAGGAUUGUAAAAUUCUUUUACCAGGGACGAUAAUGACGGUACCUGGAGAAAAAGCCCCGGCUAACUUCGUGCCAGCCGCCGCGGUAAUAC
rnacentral:rRNA from 1 species